AAAAAAGUAUUUUGAGUAGGAAAGAAAUUCAAAUUGAGGGUAGCGACUUGUCUUCCAUUAUUGACCGUGUCUGAACUGGUGGGGGAUCCCCUUUCACGUGUGGUUUUGAGGGUAUUGAUUGAAGGAAAACCUGCCUUUUCCAGGAUGUUAGGGGUAUCCCAGGGGUGUCAGGGAAUCGACAAUACACAGCCCAUUGUUCUAUUUGUAGUUCACCUCUGCUUCUUAUAUAAUUUUUCUGCUGACAAAUCUUAUGCUUAGCUCGAAUCGCAGUUCUGCUGUUUCUGAGGCCUGCCUUUUGCAGCUUUCCCAAAACCCUCUGGUUUGAAAGAUUCCCACAACUUGAGGGAUUUCAUUUGAGGACAAGCCCUUCUUUUCUGCUCUUACAGGGGCUGAAACUGAAGGGGAGAACACAUUUAUUUGCCCUUGUUGAAGUGAGGCGAGCACCUGAGUGUGGCGUCCGUGCUGGAGAGUGGGAGAAGGGUCCCUGCUGGCUGCCGUGUCCUGGGUGGGCACAGAGCUCUGACCUCGGCCAGAUGGGCUGAUGAGUAUUGAAUCAAUCCCUGCCUCCUCGUGAGCAAGUUGUUUGAAGGAGUUUGAGGCAGGGACGGCUUUUAGCCGGCUGCAGUUCGGUUUCUUUCUCACAGGUUUCCGGGUGUUUUGAUCCUGACGUCGCCAAAGCCUCAGGUUUGCUGAAUUGGGGCUCUUACCUGUGUGACCCGUGAAAUGUCCCGGAAGCUGAUCGAUGUCUUCCUGCUCCCGCUGUGUUCAUUUGGGCUGUGCUUCAGGCUUCUCUCCCUGGGCCCUUGCCGUUGCCGUAUCUCUUGGAUGCCGUGCAGAAGGGAAUCAGGCAGCCAAGCCUCAGGUUCACCUUCUCCCUCACCCUCUGCGCUGCUCGUGUGGCACAGCAGAUCCUGAAGCCAGAGGAGCACGUGUACAUAAGGGUAAAGAGAUUCCUUCUGUCACACCGGUAUUUGGACCUGAGGAAGGUACCAGGUUUUCUCCAGCUUUUCUACAGUUUUGAUUUUGAGUACAAAACAGCACGAGUGGAUCCUCAGAUUUCUUGGGGAAGGGCUGCGUGACAAACAUUGCUGUGAGCUCUAUGUCUACCAGAGGAUUUUCCGGGUCAUUCUUUCCCUUCUCAGCAGUCCUUUGUGUGACCAGGGCUCCCAGAGUCCUAUUCUGGAGAUACGACAGAGUGCUGCCCGUGUCACCUCUAGAGCUGCCCAUGAGCCGAUAGAGGAUCACAGCCUCCUCUCGUGGGUCCUGCACGGCUUAGAGAAAAGGUAACCAGCCAAGUACGGGAGACGUGGGGACAAUUUCCUGUCCACGGCUGAAGAAUGACGUGGCUGAGGAUGAAAGCAAGGGGGACAGACCUGGAGACGGGGGCACCGAGGGCUGCACUGGCAGAACUUGCUGAACGCUGAGGUGUCCCUUGUGUUUUUGAGAAGAGAAUCAAGAGGCUUUCAGGUGGUGGUGGGAGGGACGAUGGUGGGGGGGCUGUGUGAUUUGGGAAUCACUUCCUUGACAAAGCAAAAGGACACCUUGUGCUGGUGUCUUUAGCUUUGAAAUUUCAAGCAGCCUCAGUUCCCAUCCUGUCACAGGACCUGCUGCACAGGAAGUGGCACAGUAAUGGAUUUGAGCUGUCUAGAACAUUAUUUCUCCUCCCCUUGCCUCUCCCUGACAAAAAAAAUCUCUUCUGCAAGCACAGAGUGCCCUGACAGGUUCAGGCAAGUGCACCAAAAGUGCCCUAGAAUAUGGUCCCCCGUAGGAGAUGGACCAGCUGCUGGUGAGGAUCUGCCUUUCAAAUGUGGUUUUCUUUUCUUUUUUUUCUUUUUGUUCUGUUUCAUUUUGUUUUUCAGGUUUCUGGAGAACAAGGUGAUAAAUAAAAUGAUUUCCUUACUCCAUCCUCUGUGGCUAAUAAAUUUAGGAGACAAGAGAGAAAACAGGAAUCGGUCCCAGAUGCUGCUGUUGAGAUGGGUAUAUGAUCUACCUGUAUAUAGAUAUAUGCGUAUCUCUGUACAUCUGUGUAGUGCUAAUAAUGGGAGUUUUUAUGAUACGUUGCUUUACUGUCUUAUAUUUUUAAUAAAGUGUGAUUUUAAGUUAUUAGGUAUAACAUUUUAUUCUGCUUAUUGGCUAAAGUAACAUUUUCUUGUAUUUUAUUGGUAUCAAGUCAUGUUAAUCAUUAAUUGGUAAGAGUUUAUAAUGAAUUAUUAAGGUGUGAAUAUUGUUCAUUAAGGUACGUCUUUUUUUUACUGUAGGUAUUUUCAUGUGUUCGUAUGGGUUUUUAUGUUAAUGAUUUGGGGUUUUUGUGUUAUGAAUAUAUUAGUAUUUUAUUAGGGGUUUUUUUGGUUAGUUUACUUGUUUGGUGUGGUGAUCACUCCUGUUAAGUAUGUUUAUCUAUAUAUGUUUUAAAAUGUAAGUUAUAAAUCUACUUGUUAAGGAUUUUUGUAGAGUUCUAUGUAAAAAUUUAAAUCGGUAGGGGAGAUAAAAAGCAGUAAUUAUUAAUAAGAUGAGUAUUUUAGUUUUUAAUAAUGAUUUAAGUUAUUCAGCGAUGUUUUAAUUUUUGAAAAUAGUAUUUAGUUAUUUUUUAUGUGUGAUUGAUUAAUUUUUUAAAAAAAAAUUAGUAAUGGUUUUGUAAAUUGAUUUCUUGUGAUUUCAUCAAUUUAUAUAUUUUUAAAAAUGUUUUCUAUUUAUGAUUGUGUGUGAAUAAUAAAAAAUGAACAGUU